rnacentral:rRNA from 1 species
GGCAGUCAGAGGCGAUGAAGGACGUGGUAAUCUGCGAAAAGCUCGGGGGAGUCGAUAAACAGACUUUGAUCCCGAGAUGUCCGAAUGGGGAAACCCACCCGCUUGCGGGUAUCGUAUGGUGAAUACAUAGCCAUACGAGGCGAACCCGGGGAACUGAAACAUCUAAGUACCCGGAGGAAGAGAAAACAAUAGUGAUUCCGCAAGUAGUGGCGAGCGAAAGCGGAACAGCCCAAACCUUGUCAGUUACGGCUGAUAAGGGGUUGUAGGAC